AAAAUACUCUCUCUGUUCGAAAUUAUUUGUCACGAAAAUGGAUGUAUCUAGACGUAAGUUUUAGAUACAUUCAUUUCUAUCGAUUUCUGCUACAAGUAAUUCAAAACGGAAGGAGUAGAAG
rnacentral:pre_miRNA from 1 species